CGCGCCUGGAACCUACGGCUACGCCGUCCGGUAAUUACAGUAUAUGGUGCUGGGACUCGAUGGUUCACAUCUUCCGCUUGCGCCCGCCACGCUGAGGCUGUGCCCCACUCAAGGCGACUGUGUCCACUGGUCCCGGCGGGUAGCUGCCGGGGUCUUGGGGCCGAAGGAACAGGGUACGGGGCCAGGCCGGCAACGGAGCAGCCAAAACCUGUCGCAGCCGCCAGUGAGGGGAACACACGGCUGAGUGGUAAGCGCGA
rnacentral:SRP_RNA from 16 species